AUUAGUGGCCCCUUGAGAAUCUCUUAAACAUAGACUGUUUUUCCACAGCAGACAAUCAAGAUGCAGAGGCAAUAAACAAACAAACAAACAAACAAGGGAAGCUGAAUCUAGGAUAGCAGAUGUGACUGCCUGAGAUGCCCCUCAGCCAAAGGUGCAGACAUCCAGAGAGAUUCUCACAGCAGGCCUGUAAAAUCUCCUGAUUUGAUUGAGCGAUGACGCCAAUAGUCAUAACUAACACAAGAAUAAUGUGAAGAAGCGCGACAUUUCGGAGCCUUUGAAAAUGAGGUGGUGGCUGUGACAAGCUGGUCUGUCCGUUCAGGGGCUGAGUGUGCAGCUCAAGAGAAGAUGGGGCUGCCGGUGUGCAGGGAAGCAAGGCAGCACAGGUCAAUAACUCUUUUGAAGUCUGUGGAACCCUGGAAAGUACAAAGGAUUGGAACUGAGUGACUUAAUUAGCCCAUGCAGACUGAUGGAAUAUAUCCUGAGGACAUGAAGUCUAUCUACGGAAACCAUAUGACUUGUUCUUGGAGAGACCACUGACCCUGUCAGUUGCAUGAACCUCUGUUCUCUAUGCUGCUGUCUGAUUGUCUAAGAGACUUUUACAGCUGGACAAGGCAAUCUCCUGAUGGACAGAAGAUUACACUGUAAAAAUUUUCUCCUUGCUCAUUGGCAAAAGACUUGAAAGAUACCACUCACUGUUUCAACCAGCGAUUCACAAUUGGGGCUUCCUAAACAUGCUGAUGUCAUUGUCUUUUCACAGUUGGAUUAUUUUCUUGUACUUUCAAAAAAAAUACAUGCUGGUGUGAACUAUCACUGGGGGUGGGAAGAAGAGCCACUCCUGUGAUGAAGAUUCACAGGGAUGAAGGACUGACAUGGGCCAUUGCGGGGAAUUAAACUACUCUAGGCCAUGGCCAAAUUAUCCUGGGUGAAUUUUAGUCCCUUGGAACGUCCUCGUUGUUGAGUUCUAUGUCUGACCUAACAUCCAGUGGCUAUCAAAACAUUUAAAAUGUCUUCUCGAUAAAUCACUGCCUUCCAUCAACUUGGAAGCCAAGAUGGCAUCUGAGACCUGUAAUAGAUUUCACACGUUGAUAGAAACCUGCUAGCUAUGGUUCCCACCAGUGUGUUUGGUAAAUUCCUUGACUUAGGGCUUACUUUGUUCCGUAACUACUUCAUAGUAGAACGUGGUAUUUGAGGCAACCUGAAUCUGCUUCCCCAGGUUGUGGUCUCUUGUAUCUGGCACCGGAAAAAAGAACUAUGUUAUUUCCUUUAAGAUGAGACCUGAAAACUUCCCUAGUUUUCUUUCUGCCUUAGGAUACCUCAACUUACACGCUACCUACCUGGGAAGUCAAAAAAAGAAAGCUUAAAAGAUCCAAUUUUUUAUUUUGUUCUUUGUACCAGCUUCAUUUCCUUUGAGGGUGAUCUUGAGGAAACACCAGCCACAUGCUGAUUCAGGCAGGCCUGCCUUAGGUAGAGCACUGCCCUUGACUUCACUGGUGUUAGCUGGGAUUGCCCACUGGGGUGUGCUGGAUGCAGCCGGUGAACAGAGGAACACAGAUGCUCUUGGCUCCUUAUUAGCUGCCAGGGAAACUGCUCUUCAGUGGAGAUUCAAAGCCUAGAGGGCGUCAGAAAGAAGAGACAGUCUUCAAGGGACUGGUGCCAUAUCAACUCACUUCAGUCUUGACCUUGGUUUGGUCUUAUUCUUUUAUUUAUUUGUUUUUAAUGGUUUCAUCCCCCAAUGUUGAGGCAUCUUUAAAGUAUAUCAAUGUCUGGUGAGCAUAAAGGAUCCCAGCGAAGUCUGUUAGGCUUGCUGGCAGCUGCGGAGGCUAAAGCACGGUUCUGCCCUGCGUCCCCACCUCUGUGCGCAUGCUCUGAGCUAGUCUGGGAGGAAGCCUGGUUAUCGGGUUGCUGUUGGGAGAAAUAUUCUUGCUAAGCAGUCUCCCCUCACAUCUUGUGACACCGAAGUAGACAA